GGAGAGGUGCCAGAGUGGUCGAAUGGGUCUCACUGCUAAUGAGUUAACCUGGGAAACUGGGUUCGAGGGUUCAAAUCCCUCCCUCUCCGCCA
rnacentral:tRNA from 1 species